rnacentral:rRNA from 1 species
AGAGUUUGAUCAUGGCUCAGAUUGAACGCUGGCGGCAGGCCUAACACAUGCAAGUCGAGCGGUAGAGAGAAGCUUGCUUCUCUUGAGAGCGGCGGACGGGUGAGUAAUGCCUAGGAAUCUGCCUGGUAGUGGGGGAUAACGCUCGGAAACGGAGCUAAUACCGCAUACGUCCUACGGAGAAAGCAGGGGACCUUCGGGCCUUGCGCUAUCAGAUGAGCCUAGGUCGGAUUAGCUAGUUGGUGAGGUAAUGGCUCACCAGCGACGAUCCGUAACUGGUCUGAGAGGAUGAUCAGUCACACUGGAACUGAGACACGGUCCAGACUCCUACGGGAGGCAGCAGUGNNGAAUAUUGGACAAUGGGCGAAAGCCUGAUCCANNCAUGCCGCGUGUGUGAAGAAGGUCUUCGGAUUGUAAAGCCUUAAGUUGGGAGGAAGGGCAGUAAAUUAAUCUUUGCUGUUUGACGUUACCGACAGAAUAAGCCCGGCUAACUNNGUCCAGCAGCCGCGGUAAUACAGAGGGUGCAAGCGUUAAUCGGAAUUACUGGGCGUAAAGCGCGCGUAGGUGGUUCGUUAAGUUGGAUGUGAAAUCCCCGGGCUCAACCUGGGAACUGCAUUCAAAACUGACGAGCUAGAGUAUGGUAGAGGGUGGUGGAAUUUCCUGUAGCGGUGAAAUGCGUAGAUAUAGGAAGGAACACCAGUGGCGAAGGCGACCACCUGGACUGAUACUGACACUGAGGUGCGAAAGCGUGGGGAGCAAACAGGAUUAGAUACCCUAGUAGUCC